AGAAUUUAGCAGAGAUGCUUUAGUGCCUUCGGGAACUCUGAGACAGGUGCUGCAUGGCUGUCGUCAGCUCGUGUUGUGAAUGUUGGGUUAAGUCCCGCAACGAGCGCAACCCUUAUCCUUUGUUGCCAGCACGUAAUGGUGGGAACUCAAAGGAGACUGCCGGUGAUAAACCGGAGGAAGGUGGGGAUGACGUCAAGUCAUCAUGGCCCUUACGAGUAGGGCUACACACGUGCUACAAUGGCGCAUACAAAGAGAAGCGACCUCGCGAGAGCAAGCGGACCUCAUAAAGUGCGUCGUAGUCCGGAUUGGAGUCUGCAACUCGACUCCAUGAAGUCGGAAUCGCUAGUAAUCGUAAAUCAGAAUGUUACGGUGAAUACGUUCCCGGGCCUUGUACACACCGCCCGUCACACCAUGGGAGUGGGUUGCAAAAGAAGUAGAUAGCUUAACCUUCGGGAGGGCGUUUACCACUUUGUGAUUCAUGACUGGGGGUGAAGUCGUAACAAGGUAAGCGUAGUGCU
rnacentral:rRNA from 1 species